rnacentral:tRNA from 1 species
GUUGUUAUAGCUCAGUGUAAGAGCAUAUGCUUAGCAUGCUUGAGGUCCUGGGUUCAACCUCCAGUACCUCCA